UCAGUCAAAGGGCCCACAUUAUUCUGUCCCUAUGAGGUCUCACUGCUACUCCUUUAAGAGUAACCAAAACCAGAUCAGGGUUGUUUGCAGGUCCCAUUUUACAGAGUCUGAUCUCCUGUGCCUGGUUUCCAUUUCCUGUCACAGGACUCAGCAAACUUUGGGGGAGUUGUUGCCAGACCUGGGCUUGCUCCCGUAUAAAUUCCUGAAGACUCUUUUGCUGUUAAACCUAUCAGGCUUUCUAUCCAAGCAUUAGAGUCUGUGCUUUUCAAGGGUGGGAAUGAGAGACUGGUGAGAGCACUCUGGGAGCAGAGAACAUGGAGUCUGCUUGAAAACCCCCAGACUCACCAUGAGGGAGUGUGUCUGCUGGUGAGUGUUCCGCUAAGAUCUGGACUAAUAACACCUGAGAUCAUCCAGAGCCUCCUCCCCUGGGUGAAUUCCCCAACAGAAAAUAGCCAAGUCACCAGCACAGCUUUCCUUGCCCAGGUCCUAGCACAAUGGGAAUCUGGUCUGUGACUGGGACUAUGAGGCAGUGCUGGAAUACAAAUAAUCACAUGCUGAUCUACAGAAAUACUUUUGUACCCUGGCCAUCCCCACUGGCUUAAGAGAUUAGUCACUGAAAAUGGAAGUAAGUGACCUUGACAUCUGCAGUUUAACUCAGUCCCUUCAUCUCCUGCACUGAGUGUUCUUUCCGCUCAGUAUAUGCUGUCUGAAUGCACAGGAGAACCGUGAUGGAUGGUGACAAAGGAUGGUGAAUUUUACCAACAAACUGAGGCAUGAGGAAGUGGACCAAGCAGUAGAGAUGACUGUAAAUGUCUGAAGUGAUAUCACACCACUACAUUUUGUGACAGUAGACAAUGGCAAUGCUAAUACCAUGAUUACAUUUGCUUCUAAAAGCUGCCUGGUUUCUUUGGUGCUUCCUUAAAGAGUAUUUCCAAAAGACAUUUCGAAGUGCUAAGGAAAGUAAACAACAUGAAUUUCAGUGCUGCCUAUCGUCUCCUAUCAAGUCAGGCUACUCCUCCUAUUGAUGUGCAGUAUCUGGCCCCUAUCCUUCCUAUCUGGUGACUAUUACAAGCCAGGAGCCUGGAGACUUUUUCCCCAUUUGAUGGGUCUUGUGGUGAGCUGGGUCAUGUAUAUGGACCUGGAGAAGAAAGAGGAGGUGGCAUUCAUUUGGAUGAAGAGAAAUUUUGGACAAUGGAUUAUGUCUGGAAAGGCAGGUGUUCUGUUUCCCUGAUCAGCUCUCCCCCGAAAGUGCAGUGAAGCAACAAGCAUUAGCUUAAGACUCUUGCGGCAACUUUAUGUACAGUGAAUUUCAUUGCAUAUGUCCCGCUUGCUGAUGCCACCAUGGCAAUAGGUAACACAUGAAUACAAGCCAAGUUUGAUUUAAAAAAAAAAUUGCCUCAGGUUAGGCGGUUGUGUUCAUAUCUAGGUCCCCAAAUAAAUGGCUUGACUUGUA